GGCCUACCAAGACGAUGAUGUGUAGCUGGACUGAGAGGUUGAACAGCCACAUUGGGACUGAGACACGGCCCAAACUCCUACGGGAGGCAGCAGUAGGGAAUUUUCGGCAAUGGAGGAAACUCUGACCGAGCAACGCCGCGUGAAUGACGAAGUACUUCGGUAUGUAAAGUUCUUUUAUCGAGGAAGAAAAGCAAAUGGCGAACCAUUUGUUUGCCGGUACUUGAUGAAUAAGCCCCGGCUAAUUAUGUGCCAGCAGCCGCGGUAAGACAUAAGGGGCAAGUGUUAUCCGGAAUUAUUGGGCGUAAAGGGUGCGUAGGCGGUCUAGUAAGUCAGUGGUGUAAUGGCAACGCUUAACGUUGUCCGGCUAUUGAAACUGCUAAACUUGAGUUAGAUAGAGGCGAGUGGAAUUCCAUGUGUAGCGGUAAAAUGCGUAAAUAUAUGGAGGAACACCAGAGGCGUAGGCGGCUCGCUGGGUCUUAACUGACGCUGAGGCACGAAAGCGUGGGGAGCAAACAGGAUUAGAUACCCUGGUAGUCCACGCCGUAAACGAUGAGUACUAAGUGUCGGGUUAAACCGGUACUGAAGUUAACACAUUAAGUACUCCGCCUGAGUAGUACGUACGCAAGUAUGAAACUUAAAGGAAUUGACGGGACUCCGCACAAGCGGUGGAUCAUGUUGUUUAAUUCGAAGAUACCCGAAAAACCUUACCAGGUCUUGACAUGUUUUUGCAAAAUGAUAGUAAUAUCGUGGAGGUUACCAGAAACACAGGUGGUGCAUGGUUGUCGUCAGCUCGUGUCGUGAGAUGUUAGGUUAAGUCCUAAAACGAGCGAAACCCUUAUCGUUAGUUGCCAGCACGUUAUGGUGGGGGACUUUAACGAGACUGCCAAUGAUAAAUUGGAGGAAGGUGAGGAUCACGUCAAAUCAGCAUGCCCCUUAUGACCUGGGCUACAAACGUGAUACAAUGGCUGUUACAAAGGGUAGCUGAAACGCAAGUUCUUGGCCAAUCCCCAAAAACAGUCCCAAGUCCGGAUUGAAGUCUGCAACUCGACUUCAGGAAGUUGG
rnacentral:rRNA from 1 species